UAAACCGAGGAGCGCUGCGAGAGGCUGUUCCCUCCCAGGCUCGGUUUCCGCAUCAACGGCGCUCACCCUCA
rnacentral:ncRNA from 2 species